UCGAGCGGACAGAUGGGAGCUUGCUCCCUGAAGUCAGCGGCGGACGGGUGAGUAACACGUGGGCAACCUGCCUGUAAGACUGGGAUAACUUCGGGAAACCGGAGCUAAUACCGGAUAACACCGAGGACCUCAUGGUCCUUGGUUGAAAGAUGGCUUCGGCUAUCACUUACAGAUGGGCCCGCGGCGCAUUAGCUAGUUGGUGAGGUAACGGCUCACCAAGGCGACGAUGCGUAGCCGACCUGAGAGGGUGACCGGCCACACUGGGACUGAGACACGGCCCAGACUCCUACGGGAGGCAGCAGUAGGGAAUCUUCCGCAAUGGACGAAAGUCUGACGGAGCAACGCCGCGUGAGCGAUGAAGGCCUUCGGGUCGUAAAGCUCUGUUGUUAGGGAAGAACAAGUACCGCUCGAAUAGGGCGGUACCUUGACGGUACCUAACCAGAAAGCCACGGCUAACUACGUGCCAGCAGCCGCGGUAAUACGUAGGUGGCAAGCGUUG
rnacentral:rRNA from 1 species